GCGUCCCAAACUGCGCACAAUAGCGGCCGGCUCCUCUAUCUAUUUUGUGUCCAGCCGGAGCCGCGCGCGAUGAUUCAUUGCCCCAAUUAGGGGCUCUCUGCAGCGCGCCCGGCUCUAGCCGUCUGAAGGGUCUCCUGGGGGACCCGCCGAAACCCAUCAGCGGCUGGAGCUGGUCUUUAAGUAAAGGUCAAUCAGGACGCGGGAGGAGCCAGUUCCCACUCCAGUCCCUGAAUGCCACUUGUGGAUACUCUGUCCCAUAUUUUUGCUUUUCCUGGAAGUUCGUACCGCUGGAGUCACACAGAGUCACAGCUUACAGUUGCAGUCCCGUGCCUGGCUUCCUUCAUUGGCAUCUUGUUUUUGAGACUCUUCCAAGCUGCUGCGUGCAUGGGUCAUUCUUUCCUCUUUCCUGAUGAGGAGCGUCCCACUCCAGGAUGACACCACGGUUUGUUUACCCAGCUCCUGUGGAUGGAUAUUUGGAUCGUUGCCAGCUCGAAGUUAUUACAGAGAAAGAUGCUGUGAACAUUUGUGCACAGGUCUUUGUGUGGACAUGUGUUCUCAUUUCUCCUAGAUAAAUACCGAAAAGUGGAACUGCUGGGUCACAGGGCAGGUGUUGACCCUGAGUGGAGCGGUUUAGCCUCAGUUUACAUUUAUUUAUUUGUUUGUUUAUUUAUUUAUUUAGAGACAGAGUCUCUGUCUCCCAGGCUGAAGCGCAGUGGCGCGAUCUCAGCUCACUGCAACCUUCGCCUCCCAGGUUCAAGUGAUUCUCAUGCCUCAGCCUUCUGAGUAGCUGGGAUUACAGGCUCACACCACCACGCCCAGCUGAUUUUUUGUAUUUUUAGUAGAGACGGGGUUUCGCUGUGUGGGUCAGACUGGUCUCAAACUCCCGACCUCAGGUGAUGCACCCGCCUUGGCCUCCCAAAGUGCUGGGAUUACAGGCUUGAGCCACCGCACCUGGCCAGUUUCCUUAUCUUUAUAAUGGGAAUUAAAAAGUUGGAAACAACCAUCUGGCAUGCAUCAGCAGGUGAACGGAUAAACAAAAUACGAUGUGUCCACAACAUGGAGCAUUAUUUGGCCAAGAAAAGGAAUGAUAGCCCUUGACAACAUAUGCCUGGAGACAGAAGCCAGACACAAGGCCACACACUGAUCCCAUCGACAUGAAAUACCCAAAACCGGCAAUCCGUAGAGACAGAAGGCAGCUUAGUGGCUGCUUAGGGCUGGGGGCCAGGGGGCUGGGGAACCACGGAUCGUGGGGAUAGGGUUUUCCUUUUGGAGUGAUGGGCAUAUUCUGAAAUGAGAUACAGGUGGUGGCUGCACAACCUCAUGACUGCACUGAACGCCACUGAAUUGUACCCUUUAAAAUAGUUAAAGUGGGCCAGGUGCAGUGGCUCAUGCCUGUAAUCCCAGCACUUUGGGAGGCCAAGGCGGGCAGAUCAUGAGGUCAAGAGACCGAAACCAUCCUGGCCAACAUGUGGAAACCCUGUCUCUACUAAAAAUACAAAAAUUGGCUGGGUGUGGUGGAACACCCCUGCAGUCCCAGCUGCGCGGGAGGCUGAGACAGAAUUGCUUGAACCCGGGAGGCCCAGGUUGCAGAGAGCCUACAUCGCACCACUGCACUCCAGCCUGGCAACAGAGCGAGACUCUGUCUCAAAAAAAAUAUGUAAAUAAAAUAAAAUGGUUAAAGUGGUGAAGUUUAUGUUAUUUGAAUUUUGUCUCCAUUUUCAAGAGGAGGAGGCUAAUCUGAUCGUCGUUUUUAGGGUUCCUGCAAAGGUUACACGAGAUGCCCCAGGGAGCAUUUAGCACAGUGCCGGGCACACAGUCCCAGGAUGACAGCUGCAGGUCUUCGGGGGUUCCAUCUGCUCACGUACGUCUCUGUCCCCGUGCUUACAACACUGCCUGCAUGUGGGAGACACGCAAUGAAUAUCUUUUCAUCAGGAACAGUUAGCUUCGAGACUAUGAUGUCCUCAGGCCCCUAAGCAAAGCCCUGCCAGGAAUGCAUGGUAAUGAGAAUGUCUGCAGCACGACUGUGACCUUGACAUCCACUAUCUUCAAGAAAUCUUCACAACAACCCCAUCGUUAAUCUCCCCAUGUUUACAGAGAAGGAAACCGAGAGGGGUUAAGGAAGCCGUCCAAGGUCAGCCACCAGCCCAGACUGGCGACUCCCGAGCCCAUGGGGCAGGUGAGCAGGCUGUGUGGUCAGCCAGCGCGGACUCCCCCCACGCAGCAUCACCGAGCCUCAAACGGAGAGGCCCACCCUCGACGAUCUGUGCAGAGCAAGGCUCUCUGCCCUACUCUCAGGCUGGAUUUUCACAGAGACGAGGCCAGGAAGGGAGAUUGUCCCUGUGGGUCUGUCCCGGAAGAGACCCUGGGCUCCAAGCACAGAGCAGGAUGUAGCCUGCCCCGGGGUCCUCCGGCCGAGCCAGGAAGAAGGCCUCAAGGCAGCCAGGCCGGCAGGGAUUUCCCAGAGGCUCUGACUUGGAGGGAAAAAGGAGGUAAGGAAAAUGCAGCCAAAACUAGGCCAGGGAAACCGGCUCAUGGCUGCCUGGGCCGGCCGCUGUCCCCUGGCAGCUGCAGUGACUCUCCCAGGGCUUCGGCCAUUGAUUGGCCUCUUGUCCUUAGCCCUCAGUGGCCAUGGGCGCACCUCGUUCUCAUUCUUGGAAUUCUCCUGAGACCUCACUUUUGGCUGGAUCUCAGCCUGGCUGACCCCUCCCCAAGGCCAUCAUGCUACUUCCUGCCUGGAUUGGGGAAGGAUCACCCUAGAGGCUUCCCCCUCCUCAUUCCCCCAUUCCCAAUUCCCAUCCCAACCCCUGAAAAAUGUUUACCCCGGUGUACUCGUGAGCAUGCUUCUGCCACAUCCAGUUCUGCAAAACUCUGUUUCAUGCAUGUCACUCUCCUGCUCUCAAACUAUCCGUGGCUCCCUAGUGCUCUCAGAGAGGCAGUUCGAAGACAGGCUAAGAGCAAGGAUGCUGGAGCCAGGACAUCUGGGUUUGAAUUCUGACUCAGCUACUUACACAUUGAGAGAUCCUGGGCAAGUCACUGACCUUGCCGUGCCUCUCUUGCUCCAUCUGUGAAAUGGAAUAAGCACUGGGGCCUCCCACACCAUUCUUGGCAUAGUAAAUGAACUGAUGGACAUAACAUGUUUAGCACAGGGCCUGCUGGUCAUUGUAAGGACUGUGAAUACUGAGGGCAGAGCCAGUCCAUCUCCAGGGUCUGGACCAGGGCACAGUAUCUGGGAUCCACUCCAGCCAAAACACACGGCCUCCACUGGCCGUCCCCAUCACUGUGAUGUCGCUCCCCCACCCCGAAGCCUUCCACCCCUGCAGUCAAAUUAUCUUACAAGCUCAGCUCAAAAGGCACCCCAUCCACCCGGCCCCAAGCAAUCAGGUCACCCGACUUGACCUUCUUCCAUGGGUGUCCACACCAGCGCUUCUCAGACAGGAAGUACACGUGAAGCCCCCUAAGCCCGCCUGGAAGAGGAGCUGAUCCCCAUCUGGGCUGAGCCCUGGACAGGCAGCUCUGGUCAGGAGGCCCCUGGCCUGCAGGCUUUGUGUCCGCCCCUCCCGGGAGCAGACUCCAGGCUGGUGUGGUGCCCGCUCAGGGCCAUUCACCAGAGUUAAACAUCUAGCCAGCAAGAGGGCGGGGGCCUCGGCUACGCUCCAGCUUCUGCCCUCCCCGGCCCUGCCCCAGUGGCUCUGUCCAUCCGUCCUGGGCAGUGCUCAGCAGCCUCACUUCCUCUCUCUGUGGCCCCCUCCCCUGCACAGGACCCAGGGCACCCCGUCGGCUCCUCCGUCCCCAUCUAAUGCCACCUCACAGUCACUUGUUCAUUCAUUCGACACGCAUUCAUUAAGCGCCCUCUGUGGCUUGCCCAGGUCUCUGAUCCCUCAGCUGUCAUGUAGCUGUUCUCGGGACAAGCUUUACUUUCUCGCCUUGUAAAGUGGUCUUGGGUGGGUCAUGUCACCUUCUUCCCCAGGCCCCGCUGGGAUGGCCCAUGGGACGUUGCCAUCACAGGUUGAGCACCUACCAUGUGCCGGGCACUGUGUCAUGCAGGUUACAAAUAUCCUCCCACAGAUGUCCCCGCAAGCCCUGGAAAGCCAGGGCCUCUUCUGCUCCCUGCCCCUCACUUGCAGAAAGUGAAGCUCAGAGAGGCAGAGUGACCUGCCCCGGGGCGCACAGCUGGUGAGAGGCCAAGCCAGGGCUUCUUGCUCCAAAGUCUGGGAUUCGCAGGGCUCCACAACCCCUCGCCUGUUGGUGUUGGCUGCGUGUAACAGCCACAUCCUACGAUGAGAUUUUCUGUGGCUUCUCAGUCCCCUCAAACCCCUGUAGAUGGCAGCUCGGUCCUGUCCCCGACCCUGACCUCGGGGUCCUGAAUCUCCAGCCCAGAAAUGUUGACCUUGACGUCAACCCUGCAGGCUCAAACAAUCCCCAAAGGUGCCCCUCGUCCUAACCCCUGCACCUGCAACUGUGUUAACUUGGGUGGCCAAGGGACUCUGCAGACAUGAUUCAGUGAAGGACCUGGAUGUGGGGGGCGGGUGUGUGUCCUGGAUUAGCCAGUGGGCCUGAGGAACCCCGGGGCCCUCACAGGAGGGAGCCAGGGGCAUCACACUCAGAGAGAGGAACUGGAAGAUGCUCCAAUGAUGGAUUUGGAGAAAGAGGAAGGGGCCAGGAGCCAAGGAAUUCGGGUGGCCUGGAAGCUGGGAGCACAAGGACCAGGGCUUCCCAGAGCCUCUAGAAGGAACCAGCCCUGUCGACAUCCGGAUUUUGGCCCAGUGAGAGCCAUGUCUGACUUCUGACCUGCAGAAGCAGGAGAGAAGCAGCUGCGAGGUUUCAGCCUCUAAGCUUGUGGUGAUUUGUCAGGGCAGCCAUGGGACACUCACACAACGCCCUGGACACCCCGCUGCUGUACGAGUCCUGGCCGUGCCUGACCUCCUCCCUUCCCUACCCCCAGGUUGAUGCAAGGCGGCCCCCACCCACACCCAGACCCCAGGCGUGAAGGAGGUCUUGGCCGCCCCAGCCUCUCCGGUCUCGCAGCCUCUGGGCUCUGGGCCCUGCCUCUGGCCCUGCUCGCUUUCUGCCCUGGGCCAUUGUUAGUGCCUUAUCAGCCCAGCACAUCUCGCCUGCAUCUAAUUGGAAUUUCCUCAGAGGCAGGAAACCUGGCUCAGGCGUCAUCAGGGCUCAGAUGGUGGACCUGUGGCCUUCCUACUGGGUAAACUGGGUAAACUGAGGAACUGACUUUUACUGAGUCGCACACCUGCCCACUCUUGGCUAACCUCCUGGGGCUGCUUGAUGCUGUUUCCCGUGGCCCAGGAAGCCCUCAAAGUCAGCCCAUCUUCCCUCCCGCUGUGUCCUCCUGCAGGGCCUCUGCCCAGGCAGCUCUCUCUGCCCGUAAGCUCAGCCCCUCUGGGUGCAGAGCUGCUCCGUCUUGCUCAGGGCUCAGCGCGGCAGGAGUGAGAAGCCACCUCUUCGAGAGCUGCCCCGCACGGCACUCCCUUGCUGGAAAUCACUUCAUUUAUUGCUUGGCCUUUUUUUUUUCCCCUGAAUCUUCUGAGGGGAUCAUGGUGCCUACACCACUCCCAGGACCUGUUUCGAGGCACGGGGUCCACGUGUCUCUCACAGAUGGGCCACGGCAGCUGUUGCACAAAGGUGUUCCUGGCUCCAGCUGACCUCAGGCGAGUCAAGUCUCCUCCUGGGCUGGGGGUUGCACCUGGAACAUGGCAAUACAAAGGCAGGUCUGGUAAGGACAUAAGACGCCUGAUGGCACACACAGUAUGUGCUCAGCUAACAGCAGCUCUUUCCCUUGACCCUCCAAUGAUCGUCAAGGUGCCCCCUUGAUCCACAGGCCAGGGAGGUUAUUGAUUGAUAAAAUGUUUCCCCUGGCAUGGAAUGCACAGCCCAUGAUGCCCUGUCCUCCUUCAGGCAGAGCUGAGGGCACAGGAGACCCACAGCUGUGCGGACUCCCCGCUGGUGGGGAUGGCCACAUUCCAGGUGGGACAACAGAGCUCUGCUCAGGGUCAUACAGCUGACAUGUCACAGAUUCAGACUUCCAACCUGCUCUGUGUGGCUUUGCCGUGGCCCGAAGAAGAAGAGCAGGACUCAGAGGCAUCUCACAGGUGGACAAAGACCCCAAUCUGCAUGCAGCGGUUAAAGCUCCCUGUACACCUCCUGCUGUGGACAGAGACCCCCGAAUCUGCGUGCAGCGGUUAAAGGUCCCUGUACCCCUCCUGCUGUGGACAGAGACCCCCGAAUCUGCGUGCAGCGGUUAAAGGUCCCUGUAUGCCUCCUGCUGUAACCAGAACCCCACGAACAGCUCGUGUCAAGGUUCCCAGGCCGGCCAGGCAGGGCUGGGCAGAGUGAGGUGCUCCAGCUCACGGACAGGGGGACUAAAAAGGCUUGGGGGCUCAGAGAACGUUCAUUCCAGUUCCCCAGGGACAGGAAUCCGCCCCAGCCCAGGUUCCUGCCCCAGCGAGGCCUUCUCAUCGGCGUGAUCGGGGUCUGGUUUGCAGCCAGGCCACACAAAGCCACACAGAGCAGCCUCGGAAGUUUGGUGACAGAAAACGACGUGACCUUGGCGGGGUUUGGAGGCUGCAGCUUUUGGCGGGGCAGGUCAGGGCCCCGGGGUGUUGUGGCCACAGAGCCACGCAGGGGAGGCGCUAGGUUGUGGGUUAGGGGACGGGGAGGCCCCUUCAUCCCUGGCCAGGUUGGGCAGCAGUGACGCCUUCUUUCCUCCCCCACUGCCCCCCUACAACCCCGACACUCUUCACGGAACCCCUGUGUCUGCUAGGCACUGGGUAGGCACUAUUUGUAUAAAUAAAACUCCUUUUGGGCCUGUGUGGAUCCCCUCCUGAGCCAAAA